GACGAACGCUGGCGGCGUGCUUAACACAUGCAAGUCGAACGAUGACGACCGAGCUUGCUCGGUCUGAUUAGUGGCGAACGGGUGAGUAACACGUGAGCAACCUGCCCUUCACUCUGGGAUAACCUCGGGAAAUCGGGGCUAAUACCGGAUAUGAGCUCCUGUCGCAUGGCGGGUGUUGGAAAGUUUUUCGGUGAAGGAUGGGCUCGCGGCCUAUCAGUUUGUUGGUGAGGUAGUGGCUCACCAAGGCGAUGACGGGUAGCCGGCCGAGAGGGCGACCGGCCACACUGGGACUGAGACACGGCCCAGACUCCUACGGGAGGCAGCAGUGGGGAAUAUUGCACAAUGGGCGAAAGCCUGAUGCAGCGACGCCGCGUGAGGGAUGACGGCCUUCGGGUUGUAAACCUCUUUCAGCAGGGAAGAAGCGAAAGUGACGGUACCUGCAGAAGAAGCGCCGGCUAACUACGUG
rnacentral:rRNA from 1 species